GCAGGAGAGCGUCCGGAUUCCCUGCUCUAGGUCGCGGCGGGACAGUGCCAGUGGGCGUGUGGGGCGGGGCAGGGCAGGGAAGGGAAGGGCGGAGCUGGGGUGAGGGUCCAAGGGGCCCAGGACUUGGCCGGCGUGAUCUCAGCUCUGCAGACCCUGCGGUGCUGGGAGCCACCAUGGAGAGUAGGUGCUACGGCUGCGCUGUCAAGUUCACCCUCUUCAAGAAGGAGGGUUUAUGUGAGGGUCCACUGAAGUGCUUUAGUACGGCUGUAAGAAUUGUGGCAGGGCCUUCUGUUCAGGCUGCCUAAGCUUCAGUGCAGCAGUGCCUCGGACUGGGAACACCCAACAGAAAGUCUGCAAGCAAUGCCAUGAGGUCCUGACCAGAGGGUCUUCUGCCAAUGCCUCCAAGUGGUCACCACCUCAGAACUAUAAGAAGCGUGUGGCAGCCUUGGAAGCCAAGCAAAAGCCCAGCACUUCCCAGAGCCAGGGACUGACACGACAAGACCAGAUGAUUGCUGAGCGCCUAGCACGACUCCGCCAGGAGAACAAGCCCAAGUUAGUCCCCUCACAGGCAGAGAUAGAG
rnacentral:lncRNA from 10 species